UACAGAGGUCCCAAGCGUUGUUCGGAUUCACUGGGCGUAAAGGGUGCGUAGGCGGUUGGGUAAGUCUGAUGUGAAAUCUCACAGCUUAACUGUGAAACUGCAUUGGAUACUAUUCGGCUAGAGGAAUGGAGGGGAGACUGGAAUACUUGGUGUAGCAGUGAAAUGCGUAGAUAUCAAGUGGAACACCAGUGGCGAAGGCGAGUCUCUGGACAUUUCCUGACGCUGAGGCACGAAAGCCAGGGGAGCAAACGGG
rnacentral:rRNA from 1 species